AGAUGUGAGGCUGUAAUAUCGGGUACUCCAGGUAUGACCACGGUGGUUUAGCUGUUCUGGAUGGCUAAGCGGUAUCCCCUUGCCUCAUGGUUCCAAGCUGUCCCUUUCAAAAUUGCAUGCUUAACGCAGGAGAAAACCAGUCCAGAUAGAGCAGGACCAUUAUUCAGUCAAAAGUAUAGGAGCAGCCACUAUAAAUAAGGAUGAUUGUGACAAAUGUGCUUUUUAUAUUAAAAAAAUAUUAU
rnacentral:snRNA from 1 species